rnacentral:lncRNA from 1 species
GACAAUGAGUUACUCAAUGUCAGGAAAUGACAGUGGCCCGAGUUCAUCAUCAGUCAACCUCCCACCCAAUUUUGGGGUUGAAAAAUUUAUCCUUACACAAAAGCCAAUAAAGGAAGAAACUGGUGUGGAAAACAGCUCUCAGACAGUGUAUUAUCCAGCUUUAUUGGGAAGUAUCACUGGUCUAGGUACUGACUUUUCAUCUCAUUCCGCCCCACCUAAUUUUGAAAUGCCAGGACAAGCAGAAACCACCAUGGAUAACAGCUAUCAGACAGUGGGAAAUGAAACUGUUGUGGGAAAUGAAACUAUUGUGAGAAAAGAAACUGUAGUGGGAAAUGACAGUGACCCAGAUAUGGGCUCUUCACAUCUCUCCAUUCUACCCAGUGUUGAAACCAGCCAGGAAAAUGACACUCCAGUGAUGAAUCAACCACCUUUAUUGGAAUAUAACAGAGAUGAAGAUGCUUCAUAUGUCCUCAUCCCUUCCAAUUUUGAAUCCAGCACAGAAAUGAGUUCUGAAGCAGAGAAUCAUGGAAGUGUAAUAAAAAUUGACAGUGACCAACAAACUGAUUCAGAACCUUGCUUCCUAACUCCUGGAUUUGGUGAGUUUGAAGUGAUGCCUAUUAUGAGUAGCAAUCUAAUUUAGACCCAUCAGCAUUCUUAAUA